rnacentral:misc_RNA from 1 species
GAUGAAGAACGCAGCGAAAUGCGAUAAGUAAUGUGAAUUGCAGAAUUCAGUGAAUCAACGAAUCUUUGAACGCACAUUGCGCCCCUUGGUAUUCCGAGGGGCAUGCCUGUUCGAGCGUCAUUAUAACCCCUCAAGCUCAGCUUGGUGUUGGGGCCUGCUGCACUGGCAGCCCUUAAAAUCAGUGGCGGCGCCAUCUGGCUCUAAGCGUAGUAAUUCUUCUCGCUAUGGAGUCCUGGUGGAUGCUUGCCAUCAACCCCCAAUUUUUCUAUGGUUGACCUCGGAUCAGGUAGGGAUACCCGCUGAACUUAAGCAUAUCAAUAAGCGGAGGA